rnacentral:rRNA from 1 species
AGGCCUAAUACAUGCAAGUCGAGCGCAUCCUUCGGGAUGAGCGGCGGACGGGUGAGUAACGCGUGGGAAUAUGCCCUUCUCUAAGGAAUAGCCUCGGGAAACUGAGAGUAAUACCUUAUACGCCCUUCGGGGGAAAGAUUUAUCGGAGAAGGAUUAGCCCGCGUUAGAUUAGGUAGUUGGUGGGGUAAUGGCCUACCAAGCCUACGAUCUAUAGCUGGUUUGAGAGGAUGAUCAGCCACACUGGGACUGAGACACGGCCCAGACUCCUACGGGAGGCAGCAGUAGGGAAUCUUAGACAAUGGGGGAAACCCUGAUCUAGCCAUGCCGCGUGUGUGAUGAAGGCCUUAGGGUCGUAAAGCACUUUCGCCAGAGAUGAUAAUGACAGUAUCUGGUAAAGAAACCCC